rnacentral:rRNA from 1 species
GAGUUUGAUCAUGGCUCAGGAUGAACGCUAGCGGCAGGCUUAACACAUGCAAGUCGAGGGGUAUUCUAGCAAUAGGAGAGACCGGCGCACGGGUGCGUAACGCGUAUGCAAUCUACCUUUCACAGAGGGAUAGCCCAGAGAAAUUUGGAUUAAUACCUCAUAGUAUAAUGACUCGGCAUCGAGAUAUUAUUAAAGUCACAACGGUGAAAGAUGAGCAUGCGUCCCAUUAGCUAGUUGGUAAGGUAACGGCUUACCAAGGCGACGAUGGGUAGGGGUCCUGAGAGGGAGAUCCCCCACACUGGUACUGAGACACGGACCAGACUCCUACGGGAGGCAGCAGUGAGGAAUAUUGGACAAUGGGCGCAAGCCUGAUCCAGCCAUGCCGCGUGCAGGAUGACGGUCCUAUGGAUUGUAAACUGCUUUUGCACAGGAAGAAACACCCCCUCGUGAGGGGGCUUGACGGUACUGUGAGAAUAAGGAUCGGCUAACUCCGUGCCAGCAGCCGCGGUAAUACGGAGGAUCCAAGCGUUAUCCGGAAUCAUUGGGUUUAAAGGGUCCGUAGGCGGUUUAGUAAGUCAGUGGUGAAAGCCCAUCGCUCAACGGUGGAACGGCCAUUGAUACUGCUAGACUUGAAUUAUUAGGAAGUAACUAGAAUAUGUAGUGUAGC